UGAGGAAUAUUGGUCAAUGGGCGAGAGCCUGAACCAGCCAAGUCGCGUGAAGGAUGACGGCCCUACGGGUUGUAAACUUCUUUUGUCAGGGAGCAAUUGGGUCCACGUGUGGGCUUAGCGAGAGUACCUGAAGAAAAAGCAUCGGCUAACUCCGUGCCAGCAGCCGCGGUAAUACGGAGGAUGCGAGCGUUAUCCGGAUUUAUUGGGUUUAAAGGGUGCGUAGGCGGAAUGCCAAGUCAGCGGUAAAAUCGCGGGGCUCAACCUCGCUCCGCCGUUGAAACUGGCGUUCUUGAGUUGGAGAGAAGUAUGCGGAAUGCGCGGUGUAGCGGUGAAAUGCAUAGAUAUCGCGCAGAACUCCGAUUGCGAAGGCAGCAUGCCGGCUCCACACUGACGCUGAGGCACGAAAGCGUGGGUAUCGAACAGG
rnacentral:rRNA from 1 species